rnacentral:tRNA from 1 species
UCCCUGGCGAUCCAGUGGUUAAGACUCUGCCCUUCCAAUGCAGGGGGCAUGGGUUCGAUCCCUGACCAGGGAA